rnacentral:rRNA from 1 species
GAUGAACGCUGGCGGCGUGCUUAACACAUGCAAGUCGAACGGAAAGGCCCAAGCUUGCUUGGGUACUCGAGUGGCGAACGGGUGAGUAACACGUGGGUGAUCUGCCCUGCACUUCGGGAUAAGCCUGGGAAACUGGGUCUAAUACCGGAUAGGACCACUUCUUGGACGUUGUGGUGGAAAGUUUUUUCGGUGUGGGAUGAGCUCGCGGGCUAUCAGCUUGUUGGUGGGGUAAUGGCCUACCAAGGCGUCGACGGGUAGCCGGCCUGGGAGGGUGUACGGCCACAUUGGGACUGAGAUACGGCCCAGACUCCGACGGGAGGCAGCAGUGGGGAAUAUUGCACAAUGGGCGCCAGCCUGAUGCAGCGACGCCGCGUGGGGGAUGACGGCCUUAGGGUUGUAAACUCCUUUCGCUAGGGACGAAGCGUUUUGUGACGGUACCUGGAGAAGAAGCACCGGCUAACUACGUG